rnacentral:rRNA from 1 species
CCCCGGUAGUCCUGNCCGUAAACGAUGGGUACUAGGUGUAGGAGGUAUCGACCCCUUCUGUGCCGGAGUUAACGCAAUAAGUACCCCGCCUGGGGAGUACGACCGCAAGGUUGAAACUCAAAGGAAUUGACGGGGGCCCGCACAAGCGGUGGAGUAUGUGGUUUAAUUCGACGCAACGCGAAGAACCUUACCAGGUCUUGACAUUGAUGGACAGAACCAGAGAUGGUUCCUNUUCUUCGGAAGCCAGAAAACAGGUGGUGCACGGUUGUCGUCAGCUCGUGUCGUGAGAUGUUGGGUUAAGUCCCGCAACGAGCGCAACCCCUAUCUUAUGUUGCCAGCACUUCGGGUGGGAACUCAUGAGAGACUGCCGCAGACAAUGCGGAGGAAGGCGGGGAUGACGUCAAAUCAUCAUGCCCCUUAUGACCUGGGCUACACACGUACUACAAUGGGAGUUAAUAGACGGAAGCGAGAUCGCGAGAUGGAGCAAACCCGAGAAACACUCUCUCAGUUCGGAUCGUAGGCUGCAACUCGCCUACGUGAAGUCGGAAUCGCUAGUAAUCGCAGGUCAGCAUACUGCGGUGAAUACGUUNC